CCCAGUUUGGGCUCACCCUAGGCAGCAGCUUUCCGACAAGGCCUCACUACCCACGGCGUGGUCCGGAGGAAGUUCUCGAGGGCCAGGAGGUCCACUUCCGGUCAUGUCCAGUGAAUGCUUCCUCUGCUGUGCUGAGUGUGCUGGCCUGAAACCAAGGGUGUCGUUUCAUUCCCAACCUCCGGGCUGAUUCUGGGCACAGGAAACAGCGGCCUGAGCUCAGUUUUCAUCUUGGAAGCUACAGCGUUUCUGAGUUGGCAGGAGAUUCUGUUUCCAGUGAAUACCCCAGCAAAUUUGGCAAUGAGAGUAAGACUUCUGGAAGUUCCUGAAUCACGUAAGAGGUGGACACACAAUAGUCAGGUGGGGCAGCCUCUUUACUGACCAGACAUAUAGUGGCAGCAAGCAGCGGGGGAGCUGGGCUACGAGCUGAGGUAAUAGCCUUCCCUCACCCCAGGCCCCCUGUGGACCACACGGCCCCUCAAGCAGGUGGACGUGGUCUGAGAGACAGGGCCUGGAACAAAUCUGUUUCUUUGGAGGACAGACCAAGUGUCACCGCAUUUGCUUUGACUCAACCAUCCCCCAUUCCCCUCUCCUUUAAAAUCCUCAGUUUGAUUCCCGGAGUCCAGAGUCUCUCAUGAUUCGUCUCCC